AGUAAAAAAAUAAAUAAAGUGAAUCCUUCAGCCUGGAAGUUAUAUGAAGAAUAUUUUGCAGGCAACAAUAUUUUGAAUAGUGUUAAUGAAUUAACUCGGAUAUAGUCUUUUUAAGACAAUAAAAUGGUACUGCGUUCGGGUAUAAUAAUUCCUUUUCAAUUUCGUGACAGUAAGAAACUUCUAAUGAUUGGAGUGCCUGAAGAGAACCGCAAUUUGAACAUCUGGGACUUGAGAAAUGUUGUGAGAGCUGCAUUUGGAAUUUAUAACUUUGAAUUUCGAAAUAAAAAGAUUGGAUUCAACAUACCGGAUGAGCUGCUUUUGCAUUAUUUGGCGCAACGCCAUGAUCUAACCAAUUUCGUUAUAGAAAUUGGACAAGGUUCAACAUAUACUAUAAUAAGAUAAGGACAUCUAAAAUUUUAGGAGCUAAAGCUAGGUGCCCAAAACAAACAUUCACAUAAUUGUAGUUCAUGAUUGCUUUAAGGUAGCACAAAAACGGUUCCCAAAAUAUUAAUCCUUGCUGGUUACGUAGAGGAAAAUGUCGUGAGAUUAAUUUUAGAAUCCAAUUAUGAUUGCGUUAAUUUCAACUAAAUAAUCAUAAAAGCUUCACGAUCACCGUACUGCACUUGCCUCUACUAAUCUAAAUGACAUACCAGAUAAUGGCAUUGCUGACUCGUCUUGUGCAGAGAACUUUAUUCCUGCAGACAUUUCCUUACAAUUACAUGA
rnacentral:misc_RNA from 1 species